rnacentral:rRNA from 1 species
GUCCUUGCCCUAAACGAUGUAUACUUGGUGUAAUUAGGCUCAACCCUGAUUGUACCGAAGCCAACGCGAUAAGUAUACCGCCUGGGGAGUACGCUCGCAAGGGUAAAACUCAAAAGAAUUGACGGGGACCCGCACAAGCAGUGGAGUAUGUGGUUUAAUUCGAUGCAACGCGAAGAACCUUACCUGGAUUUGACAUGCAUGUGACAGUUUCAGAAAUGGAAUCUUCUCGCAAGAGACAGAUGCACAGGUGCUGCAUGGCUGUCGU